AUAAGAUCGAAGCCACCUUGUGAAGCCCAGAAAACACAUCCAGGAGGUACUCACGAAGUAUGUAAAACCGAAAGCGGACAGGGGGGUAUUAUUCCAUAUAUAUACGGGUGUUAUUUUUAUGGGUACAGAAGGAGGCAGCCGAGGGGUGCUUUCCGUGGCGAGAUACUCCCCCGGUGCCGCAUCCCCCGAGCCCAUCCCCGCACACGGCAGUGCGCUGGGUGCCGAUCCGUGCACACUGCCGGCCCCCCCCGCGCUGCUCCCGCUCCCCGCACCCCGCCACCAGGGCGCCGGAUCUGGCCCCGAGGGGACCGGCGGCGCCCGGCGGCUGAGCGAGCGCAGCCGGGAGGGGGCCGGCACCGGGACCGGGGCCGUGUUUGGGGCCGGGGCCGUGUUUUGGGGCCGGGGGCGGUGCCGUGCCUGACGCGGCGGCGGGGCGGAGCGGGGGCCGUACAAACGGGCUGGCGCCGGGCGCUGCUCGCAGGAGGAGCGGAGCGGAGCGGGCGGCAGCGGGCGCUCGUUACACCGCCCGCCCCGCCGGCACCGGGAGCGCUUCCCACGGCUCCGCCACCGUCUCCUCCGCCGGUACCGGCACCCACGGGCGCCCAUGGCACGGCGCGGAGGGCUCUGCCCCACGGCUCCGCGCCCCCGCGCAAAGUUUCCGUUUGAGAAAUACGCAUCCACUCAGCAAAACAAAAACAAAUUUUAAAGGUUGUUCUCGGUGGAAAUCACUCCAUGCCCCAUUACCUGCUUGAGUGAAACCAGACUAAGAACUUCUGUCAUGGCAGCUUUUCUGCUGGGAGCUGUGUUGCUUAUUGUUCAACCUCAGAUAGUGCCUUCCAGACCGGCUAUCAAUUCAAAGGCUGAGACUUCUGCUCAGUCUGUUCAGAGAGAGCUUUUAAAGAAAACAUCUCAAAAAAAUGACUUCAAGGAAAACAUUCAU
rnacentral:lncRNA from 1 species